AUUGAACGCUGGCGGCAGGCCUAACACAUGCAAGUCGAACGGUAGCACAGAGAGCCUGCUCUCGGGUGACGAGUGGCGGACGGGUGAGUAAUGUCUGGGAAACUGCCUGAUGGAGGGGGAUAACUACUGGAAACGGUAGCUAAUACCGCAUAACGUCGCAAGACCAAAGAGGGGGACCUUCGGGCCUCUUGCCAUCAGAUGUGCCCAGAUGGGAUUAGCUAGUAGGUGGGGUAACGGCUCACCUAGGCGACGAUCCCUAGCUGGUCUGAGAGGAUGACCAGCCACACUGGAGCUGAGACACGGUCCAG
rnacentral:rRNA from 1 species